AGGUAGCGAAAUUCCUUGUCGGGUAAGUUCCGACCCGCACGAAUGGUGUAACGAUAUGGGCGCUGUCUCAACGCGAAAUCCGGUGAAAUUGAAGUCCAGGUGAAGAUGCCUGGUACCCGUGGUUAGACGGAAAGACCCCGUGAACCUUUACUUCAACUUGGCAUGGAGACUUGGGCAGGGAUGUGUAGGAUAGGUGGGAGGCCGCGAGGCGUGGGCGUCAGCCUGCGAGGAGCCGUCGGUGAAAUACCACCCUUGCCUGUCCAAUUUUCUAACCGCGGCCGUCAUCCGGUCGCGGGACAGUGCCAGGCGGGAAGUUUGACUGGGGCGGUCGCCUCCUAAAGAGUAACGGAGGCGCGCGAAGGUCACCUUAGGAUGGUUGGGAAUCAUCCGGCAAGUGUAAAGGCACAAGGUGGCUUGACUGCGAGGCAAACAAGCCGAGCAGGUACGAAAGUAGGUCUUAGUGAUCUGGCGGUAGCGAGUGGAAGCGCCGUCACUUAACGGAUAAAAGGUACUCCGGGGAUAACAGGCUUAUCUUGCCCAAGAGUUCAUAUCGACGGCAAGGUUUGGCACCUCGAUGUCGGCUCAUCGCAUCCUGGGGCUGGAGCAGGUCCCAAGGGUUUGGCUGUUCGCCAAUUAAAGCGGUACGCGAGCUGGGUUCAGAACGUCGUGAGACAGUUCGGUCCCUAUCUGCCAUGGGCGUUGGAUGUUUGAGGGGUUCUGCUUUUAGUACGAGAGGACCGAAGUGGACGAACCUCUGGUGUACCGGUUGUCGUGCCAACGGCAGCUGCCGGGUAGCCACGUUCGGAAGGGAUAACCGCUGAAAGCAUCUAAGCGGGAAGCCCUCCCCAAGAUGAGACAUCCCACCCGCACAAGCGGGCGUAAGGAAACAGGGAGACUACCUGUUCGAUAGGCCGGGGGUGCAAGCGCGGCAACGCGUUCAGCCCACCGGUACUAAUCAUCCGAGAGGCUUGACCAUAUCAC
rnacentral:rRNA from 1 species